rnacentral:rRNA from 1 species
CAGCAGCCGCGGUAAUACCGGCGGCCCGAGUGGCGGUCACUAUUAUUGGGCUUAAAGCGUCCGUAGCCGGGUUGGGAAGUCCUCCGGGAAAUCUGGCCGCUUAACGGUCAGAAUGCCGGAGGAUACUCCCAGCCUAGGGAGCGGGAGAGGCCGAGGGGAUUCCCGGAGUAGGGGGGAAAUCCUAUAAUCCCGGGAGGACCACCUGUGGCGAAGGCGCUCGGCUGGAACGCGUCCGACGGUGAGGGACGAAGGCCAGGGGAGCAAACCGGAUUAGAUACCCGGGUAGUCCUGGCUGUAAACGAUGCGGACUUUGUGUCGGACAAGCUAUGAGCUUGUCCGGUGCCGGAGGGAAACCGUUAAGUCCGCCGCCUGGGGAGUACGGCCGCAAGGCUGAAACUUAAAGGAAUUGGAGGG